CCUACGGGAGGCAGCCGUGAGGAAUAUUGGUCAAUGGGCGAGAGCCUGAACCAGCCAAGUCGCGUGAAGGAUGAAGGAUCUAUGGUUUGUAAACUUCUUUUAUAUGGGAAUCAAGUGAGGAACGUGUUCCUUUUUGUAUGUACCAUAUGCAUAAGCAUCGGCUAACUCCGUUCCAUCAUCCCCGGUAAUACGGUGGAUGCGAGCGUUAUGCGGAUGUAUUGGGUUUACAGGGUACGUAGGUGGUUAAUUAAGUCAGCGGUGAAAGUUUGUGGCUCAACCAUACAAUGGCCGUUGAAACUGGUAGACUUGAGUAUAUUUGAGGAAGGUGGAAUGCGUGGUGUAGCGGUGAAAUGCAGAGAUAUAACGAAGAACACCGGUUGCGAAGGCAGCUUACUAAACUAUAACUGACGCUGAAGCACGAAAGCGUGGGGAUCAAACAGGAUUAGAUACCCCAGUAGUC
rnacentral:rRNA from 1 species